rnacentral:rRNA from 1 species
AUUGAACGCUGGCGGCAUGCUUUACACAUGCAAGUCGAACGGUAACAGGCCGCCAGGUGCUGACGAGUGGCGCACGGGUGCGUAAUGCAUCGGAACGUGCCCAGUCGUGGGGGAUAACUACUCGAAAGAGUAGCUAAUACCGCAUACGAUCUAUGGAUGAAAGCGGGGGACCGUAAGGCCUCGCGCGAUUGGAGCGGCCGAUGUCAGAUUAGGUAGUUGGUGGGGUAAAGGCUCACCAAGCCAACGAUCUGUAGCUGGUCUGAGAGGACAACCAGCCACACUGGGACUGAGACACGGCCCAGACUCCUACGGGAGGCAGCAGUGGGGAAUUUUGGACAAAGGGCGCAAGCCUGAUCCAGCAAUGCCGCGUGCAGGAAGAAGGCCUUCGGGUUGUAAACUGCUUUUGUACGGAACGAAACGGCUCUGGUUAAUACCCGGGGCUAAUGACGGUACCGUAAGAAUAAGCACCGGCUAACUACGUG